UUCCGGUUAAGAGAUUUAAAUACCGAAGCCUCACACAGCGACUCUAAAUCAACUGUGGAGUCUUACAUAGAUAAAGACAAUACCGCUGAAAUGCUGUGAUCACGAAAGUGUACCAGCAGCCUAAUCCAGGCCCACAGAUCAAGUGGCGGUGGUCUUAGCUACAGAGCUUUAGACUAUAAUAUGACCGGUUCUUAUCCUAACGGUUAAGAGCUUUAACGUUCCGUAGGUGAACCUGCGGAAGGAUCAUUAAAGAGUUAGGGUCUUCUAGGCUCGAUCUCCAACCCUUUGUAUAAAUACCAUGUUGCUUUGGCGGGCCCGUCUUUAACCGGACCGCCGGAGGUUAAAGCCUCUGGCCAGCGCCCGUCAGUAGCCCACAACAAAUUCUUUUAACCAUGUAUCUUCUGAAAAUAGUUAAAUAAACUAAAACUUUCAACAACGGAUCUCUUGGUUCUG
rnacentral:misc_RNA from 1 species